AAGACUACAAUGAGAAAAACUAUCAGACAGCAGACAGCUGCAUUCAAGGUGAGCUCUGAACAUUUGAUCUGGAACAGGAAUUCAAUAACGGCAGCAUGAGCUUCAUUUCUGUCUGUAGCUGCUGAAUUCAUGGAUGAAUCAUCUGGCACUAGAGAAGAAGACCAUCAAACAUCCACGUCAGCUGAUGGAGGUCCAAGAGUCUCACGGAACAACCAACCUACAGAGUGAAGACCUCGAAUCUGAUUGGACAGCCUCCUAUUCAGCCACAUUUUAGGCUGUUAGAUUGUUCCAGAUAAGACAAGUACAAGAUUCUUCAGAGCCGUUCUACCACGAGCCUGACAGGAAGAACUCCAACAGCUACUGAAUGUUCCUGUGGUUCCCUCAAGGCUACAGGAGGAGCCCUACGAGGACGAGCCGGUCCACCUGAUGGCGGCCAGUCGCUGCGGUUCAAAGCCAACACCGACUACGUGGACUUCUACUGGACCACAUGGAGGCCUUCAAACCGGACCAACAAGUUCACAGACUCCCUGACUCGUGGGUCUGAGGACGCCGCCGAGCCUCGGUCCAGCUGGCCUCCUGUCUGUGGAUGUUUGAGUGCUGAGAGGUUUGUGGAUGCAUGUGAACGUUCUGUGUUGAAACAGCAGCU
ensembl:lncRNA